CCUACGGGAGGCAGCAGUAGGGAAUAUUGGGCAAUGGGCGAAAGCCUGACCCAGCGACGCCGCGUGAGGGAUGAAGGUCUUCGGAUUGUAAACCUCUUUCAGUAGGGAAGAAGCGAAAGUGACGGUACCUAAAGAAGAAGCACCGGCUAACUAUGUGCCAGCAGCCGCGGUAAUACAUAGGGUGCAAGCGUUGUCCGGAAUUAUUGGGCGUAAAGAGCUCGUAGGUCGUUUGUCGCGUCGAUUGUGAAAAUCUGAGGCUCAACCUCAGACCUGCAGUCGAUACGGGCAAACUAGAGUGUGGUAGGGGAGACUGGAAUUCCUGGCGUAGCGGUGGAAUGCGCAGAUAUCAGGAGGAACACCAAUGGCGAAGGCAGGUCUCUGGGCCAUAACUGACACUGAGGAGCGAAAGUGCGGGGAGCGAACAGGAUUAGAUACCCUGGUAGUCCGCACCGUAAACGGUGGGCACUAGUUGUGGGAACCUUCCACGGUUUCCGCGACGCAGCAAACGCAUUAAGUGCCCCGCCUGGGGAGUACGAUCGCAAGAUUAAAACUCAAAUGAAUUGACGG
rnacentral:rRNA from 1 species